AGCGAAUGCUGGCGGCAGGCCUAACACAUGCAAGUCGAACGAACUCUUCGGGGUUAGUGGCGGACGGGUGGUUAACACGUGGGAACGUGCCUUUUGGUUCGGAAUAACUCAGUGAAACUUGUGCUAAUACCGAAUGUGCCCUUCGGGGGAAAGAGUUAUCGCCAUUAGAGCGGGCCGCGUCUGAUUAGCUAGUUGGUGAUGUAACGGCACACCAAGGAGACGAUGAGUAGCUGGUGGGAGAGGAUGACCAACCACAAUGGGAAUGAGACACGGACCAGAAUCGUACGGGAGGCAGCAGUAGGGAGUAUUACGCGAUGAGCGAAAGUGUGACGCAGCCAUGCCGCGUGAAUGAUGCAGGUCUUAGGAUUGUACAAUUCUUUCACCGGGGACGAUAAUGACGGUACCCGGAGAAGAAGCACCGGCUAACUACGUG
rnacentral:rRNA from 1 species